GCUAGCUCGUCGCCGCGUGUAGCCGUGUAGCCGUUACGGCCUGAUUAGAAGCUUGCUUCUCUGACGUUAGCGGCGGACGGGUGAGUAACACGUGGGCAACCUGCCUGUUUCACUGGGAUAACUCCGGGAAACCGGACCUAAUACCGGAUAACAUUUUCUCUUGCAUAAGAGAAAAUUGAAAGAUGGUUUCGGCUAUCACUUACAGAUGGGCCCGCGGUGCAUUAGCUAGUUGGUGAGGUAACGGCUCACCAAGGCAACGAUGCAUAGCCGACCUGAUAGGGUGAUCGGCCACACUGGGACUGACACACCGCCCAGACUCCUACGGGAGGCAGCAUUAUGGAAUCUGCCGCAAUGGACGAAAGUCUGACGGAGCAACGCCGCGUGAGUGAUGAAGGCUUUCGGGUCGUAUUACUCUGUUGUUAGGGAAGAACAAGUACAAGAGUAACUGCUUGUACCUUGACGAUACCUAACCAGAAAGCCACUGCUAACUACGUGCCAGCAGACGCGAUAGUACGUAGGUGUCCAGCGUUAUCCGGAAUUAUUGGCCGUAAAGCGCGCGCAGGCGAGUUUCUUAAGUCUGAUGUGAAAGCUCACGGCUCAACCGUGAGGGUCAUUGGAAACUGGGGAACUUGAGUGCAGUAGAGGAAUGCGGGAUUCCACGUGUAGCUGGUGAAAUGCGUAGAGAUGUGACGACACCAGUGCCGUGCUGCUUUUCGUCUGUACUGACGCUGAGCCGAAGCGUGCGAGCAACAUGAUUAGAUACCUGUACUCCACGCGUAACGAUGAUGCUAGUGUUAGAGUUCCGCCUUUAAUUGUGCACUAGCCUUAGCAUCGCCUGGGGAUAGGUGGAAGCUGUAUCUAAAGAAUUGCCGA
rnacentral:rRNA from 2 species